rnacentral:misc_RNA from 1 species
GAUAGAACGCAGCGAAAUGCGAUAAGUAAUGUGAAUUGCAGAAUUCAGUGAAUCAUCGAAUCUUUGAACGCACAUUGCGCCCUCUGGUAUUCCGGGGGGCAUGCCUGUUCGAGCGUCAUUAUAACCACUCAAGCUCUCGCUUGGUAUUGGAGUUCGCGAUCUCGCGGCUCCUAAAAUCAGUGGCGGUGCCUGUCGGCUCUACGCGUAGUAAUACUCCUCGCGAUUGAGUCCGGUAGGUUUACUUGCCAGCAACCCCCAAUUUUUACAGGUUGACCUCGGAUCAGGUAGGGAUACCCGCUGAACUUAAGCAUAUCAAUAAGCGGAGGA